rnacentral:rRNA from 1 species
AUACGGAGGGUGCAAGCGUUAAUCGGAAUUACUGGGCGUAAAGCGUGCGUAGGUGGUUUGUUAAGUCAGAUGUGAAAGCCCCGGGCUCAACCUGGGAACUGCAUUUGAAACUGGCAUACUAGAGUAUAGGAGAGGAAAGUGGAAUUUCAGGUGUAGCGGUGAAAUGCGCAGAUAUCUGAAGGAACAUCAAUGGCGAAGGCAGCUUUCUGGACUAAUACUGACACUGAGGUACGAAAGCGUGGGUAGCAAACAGGAUUAGAAACCCUAGUAGUCC